rnacentral:rRNA from 1 species
UACGGGGGGGGCAAGCGUUGUUCGGAAUUACUGGGCGUAAAGGGCGCGUAGGCGGCCCGCUAAGUCAGACGUGAAAUCCCUCGGCUCAACCGGGGAACUGCGUCUGAUACUGGCAGGCUUGAAUCCGGGAGAGGGAUGUGGAAUUCCCGGUGUAGCGGUGAAAUGCGUAGAUAUCGGGAGGAACAUCAGUGGCGAAGGCGGCUGCCUGGCCCAAUACUGACACUCAGGUGCGACAGCGUGGGGAGCGAACAGG